CACAAGGUUCACUCUUGAAGAACACAAUGGAAUCGUAACACAUUGGCUCACUUCUUCCAAACAGCUAGAGGGGAAACCAAAUCCUGUUACCUUCUUGAUACUGUCAGGCAGUCUAGGAGGAAUCUGGCACACCUGCUGGGUUGGAAUGCUUUGAUAUUACUCAGCUGCCUUCAAGUCACUCUCAAAUCAUACCAGGCCACUGUAUAUUUCACAAACCUUCCAACCAAUGAUUUUGGUUCUCAUGCAACCCUGAAAGUAUUAGACUGCCUUCGAAAAUGGUCAAACUUAAGGACUACUACUGCUCUUUACAUGUAUGGUAUCUCUUGCACACAGUCAAGUUUUGCAGUUGAGACAGAGGACUGCAGGCUCUCACUCCAAACUGCUAAAGAACAAAGGCACGGCAACAACCAAUCUCACGCAUACUGAAACAUUCAAUAUUCCCACCGUACAUACUCAGAUCAAGACAGAACUGAU